AAUACGUAGGGGGCUAGCGUUGUCCGGAUUUAUUGGGCGUAAAGAGCGUGUAGGCGGCCAGGUAGGUCCGCUGUGAAAACUCGAGGCUCAACCUCGAGAGGUCGGUGGAAACCAUCUGGCUAGAGUCCGGAAGAGGAGAGUGGAAUUCCCGGUGUAGCGGUGAAAUGCGCAGAUAUCGGGAAGAAUAUCCGUGGCGAAGGCGGCUCUCUGGGACGGUACUGACGCUGAGACGCGAAAGCGUGGGGAGCGAACAGGA
rnacentral:rRNA from 1 species